rnacentral:lncRNA from 1 species
GAAUUUCUCCCCUAAAACAAUAUUUAAAAUAUUAAUGCCACAAUAACUUCCAUGUUAAUAAACUAUUACACAUUAUUUUAGAUCUUUUAAUUUCGAAAUACUUUAUCAUCCUAAACUCAAUUUUAAUAAACCCUGAUACAAAAGGUACGAUAAAUAAAAUCUUCUUAUUCCAAUCUCACCUCUUAAUAAUUCACUAACGUUACUAUAAACAUAAAUAAAUAAUUUUCCCUUAAUCUUUUACCAAACAAAUUAAAUUUAAUAUAACUUUAUUUAAAAAACUAACCCUCAGGCAAUCUAAAACAAAUCUUAGCUAAUCAAUCAAAAAUUAUAAUAACAUAAUAAUUUUAAACCCUUAAAAUUUUACUUAUACGAACAAAUAAUCCUCUCAUUGUAAAUGAAACAUUUUAUAAUUAAACUAAAAUUUUUUACUACACAUCUAAAUACAUUUUCCAAUACAUUUACUCUGUUACGACUUCUCCUGCUUAAUUCUAAUGUACAUGGGAUGCGCGCGAUGGGGAAUACUGUGUUUCCAAUAUUUUCCUAAAUUUCCUUAUCGAAUCGGCGUGGUCCUACUGUGCAUCGAUACCGGGCAACACCCCCUGUUCAGCAACAACGAGUUGUCGUAGUCGUUUCGAGCACGCGGCCGGAGUAGCUACGAAAUGUUUUAUUUCCCCUGGCAGCUGGUUCGACCCUUCGAUGAGCAACUUUCGAGUCGCCUUUAUGCCGUCGCAGGAGCAUGCACGACCCUUCGACUGUCACUUGCACGCGUUGAUUUUCCAAUUCAAUAUGACCAACAAGCGAGCACAACGAAGCCAAGCGCUUCACGAUUCGGCUUUGCCGCGCGAGACUUCGCUCUCUCAAACGGUCGGGAUUAAACGGAAACGAGCAACUUCGCUGCCACCGUUCGCUUUCGGGUGCUUUGACUCACCGGGCACAGAGGUCCGCGAUCUGUGUUGCAACUUCUCUUAAUUGGGAUUAAACAAGCCAUUUCAAUGUCCGGUAGAGGGUAGCCUUGCCGGUUUGCACCGCUCCAUUCUAACUCGACGUUUAGAUGACUCUUUUGGACCUGCAUUGCGUUGAAACCCCAACGGGUGCAUUUAUAAUUGCGUUUUCAAUCUCGAAGUCUAAUCAGGCCAUCCUUUCUCGAUUAAUUGCAAAACACGAAUUCCUCAUUAGCAUCUGUGAAACGCGACUCGGCUUCGUGAAGCGCUUCCUAAUUUUCGGUCGCUCAUGAUUCAGAAAUUACGCGGACUGUAUUUAUACCGUGGCGAGAUUAAAUAAAAUAUUCUCCAAUCCUCGUCUCGCAUUAAAUAACAAUAAUAAAUUACCAUGCUUUGGAGACAUCCCGUGCGUCCCUCUCAUUUACACAUAAAUGCAAUUACGGCCUCGCGAUUUGCUCUGUUAAUCUCGCUUCGAUAAUCCGAUUAUAGUCGCUAAGUGUCAUGACAAACGCGCUACUUAAGGGGGGAUUCUCACGUAACGAGUCAAAAAAUUUUUUUGCUUAAAUCAACUCUAAUACAUGUGGAAAAUGUGUUCCUAAAGUUACAAAUCGAUAUUCGACCUCUACGUAUAGUUAUAGUCGAGUUUUCGACCGCGCGUUGAGUAGGCAGCUGGGAGCGCUCGGAGCGGAGACACGCGUCUCGUCCGUCCUCACUCAUGCACUCGUACAUAACAAACAGCUUCGCAGGUAUACGUCUAAUGGUUUUCUUUUGCUGUGAUAUACCUUCGCGUACUUGUAUAGCUGAGGCAGGAAAUUUUUACGAGAGCUUCAAUUCGUGUGUUUGGCGUUUGGCUCCGAAAUAUUUAUAUUGCGGCAUCCGAACAGUGGAAAUAGCCGCAUAUAUUGCUGCAGGAUUAUUCAACGAAGGCUAUUUCGCCGUUUUAAAAAUUAUGGACACACUAGAACUAAAGACCGGUACCCGUUGUAAGGGGUAUGCAGACUCGUGUGACGCCGCGCGAAUACGGCGACAGGAGUGACGAAGCCUCAGUAGCUCGAAAGAAGCUCGAACUGCUCGCAAAGAACUGAAUUUACAACAGCAGCAAUUAUACGAGGAUGCAGAAGGCCUACUAUAUGGCCCUGGAAUCGCCGAUUAGGACUACCAUUACAGCGGAUGCUAGACUGCACACCGUUUGACGCCUGCGACGCCGAAGCCGCUGAAGGCGGCGUCCAUACCUAUAUCUAUAUAUAUGUUUUUUUUAACCAAAAAAAUAUUUUUAUAUUCUCUUUACAUGUAUUGAUGUACUAUUAAAGUUUGAGAUCCUUUGACUAAAUACGUUCUUGAA